rnacentral:sRNA from 1 species
UCAGCCUCAAUUAGACCAACAAGCGCUCAUUCGACAUAUAUGUCUUCGAAGACUUUCAAAGCCUGCUGAGCGAUGGCAUAAAGAAACCACUUACCGAAGAGACUAUUCUCUGCCGUUUUGUGAGAUUGAUUGGAACCAGAAAUUAGCCACAGUUUCGCUGAAUCCUCGACCACUUAAUUCACUGCCAGAGCUCUACUGUUGUGAAGAGAGAAGCGGCUUUGAAAGAAAUGCUUUUAAACUAAAAUAACCAUGGCAUUCGAACAAAAUAACGUUUGGCAUUCUUAGGUGACUCUUUUAGACUAAGUUAAUGGCAGCAGAACUACUUUCAAUUUAAGUGUGUAUACAGAUGGCUAUAAUCCUAAAAUAUUUACAUGUUGCAAAUUUUUUGCAGAUUAAGUUGGUCAGCUUAGAACAGGGAAUCAAGAUCUAUCCUUAAGAGAACUUGAAUUUUAGCCCCACUCCCAGUCUUAUUGCUGAUGCUGGCAAGCUAUCUUACAUUUAGCCCAAUGUAUACGCAAGAUCAGGUAAGAUCAUUGCGUCUGCACAAUAAUUGCAUCACUGUUGGGAAAAAUAAAAAAAAGAAGCUGGGGGACAUGGCCAAUUAGGAAGAAAACUGGCACUGGAGACCCUCAGGGGGCUCUGGAUGGAGAAACCCAGGUGUAGCCUGGGGCUGUAGCGAGAUGUGGGACUAAUAAAAAGGAUUAACUGAGAGUCUGUGUACAGGAGUUAGCACCCCUAUCUUGGCAAGAAGAAAGCCUGACAACUAGGCAUCAGCCCCUCAGGCAGAAAGCUAAAGGGUCUUCUCUAAGGAGAGGAAAGAACACCAAAGAAAAAAAC